rnacentral:lncRNA from 13 species
ACCUUAAAGUUAAAAAGAGAAGCUGCAAUAAAGGCAGAGAAGACCAUGUCUAAGAGCACAUACGAAGAAGAGGAAGAUGAGGAGGAGGAUGAGCAUCUCCCCAAGACUGAGAUGUCAAAAUGGGACUGCAGAGCAGUUUGCGUUUCAGUAUGGACUGGAGGGAACAACAUUUAAGAAUGAGAAUGGGGAGGUGAGUUGGCACUUAACGCAAAUUAGUGAUCGAAUGUGCAGGUUGUUUUUUGCCGUCUCGUACCUCUUUCACUCUGUAGUUAGCGACAGUACCUUUGCUCUUUUCUUUUACUCAAAACCCCUUUUCUCUGUGCAGUGUUCCAAGAGCCAUCUGUCCAUCAUCAAAGUGGAACAACUGGACCCCAUUCUCCCUGAACAAAACAACUCCAGCUGUGGUUCUGGGUCACCUGGGGAUCCUGGGCCUCCUGGCUCGUCUGGUUUUGGGUCCAGUAUGAGUCCAGCUGCACAGUUCUUCAGGAAGUGCCACCAGGCAGGCUGCACACAGUUCAUCUUCUCGGAGUUUGCCUCCCGCCUCAACACUAUCACUGAGAGGAUUUCAUCCCAGCAGGCCAGCGAAGAAGAUUUCAACCUCACCCUGAAAGUGCUGGAGGCCUCUGGGAUGCUGCCAGAGAUCUUUGCAAAGAGAGACCAAGAAAUGGAGAAGAGACUGAAGGAUCUGCAGAGAGAGACUGAAGCGGUGAGGACUGCCAGGUCUGCCAUGAGAGAUGCCUGUGUCAUGAGCUUCACCCCAUCAUGA